rnacentral:rRNA from 1 species
UACAGGGGGGGCAAGCGUUGUUCGGAAUUACUGGGCGUAAAGGGCUCGUAGGCGGCCAACUAAGUCAGACGUGAAAUCCCUCAGCUUAACUGGGGAACUGCGUCUGAUACUGGAUGGCUUGAGUUUGGGAGAGGGAUGCGGAAUUCCAGGUGUAGCGGUGAAAUGCGUAGAUAUCUGGAGGAACACCGGUGGCGAAGGCGGCAUCCUGGACCAACACUGACGCUCAUGCACGAAAGCGUGGGGAGCAAACAGG